rnacentral:misc_RNA from 1 species
GUGGGAGGGGGCUUGCUCCCGAUAGCGGUGUGACAGUCAGCUUAUCUCUAGCUGACCCAGCGCAAUCGGGAGCAAGCCCCCUCCCAC